CUCCCUCUACCUCCUCUCCUACCUUCUCCUCCUCUCCUCCUCUACUACCUCCUCCUCCACCUCCUCCUCUCCUACCUCCUCCACCUCCUCCUCUCCUACCUCCUCCACUUCCUCUUCUCCUACCUCCUCCUCUCUCUCCUCCUGCUCUCCCUCCUCUCCUACCUCCUCCUCUCUCUCCUCCUGCUCUCCCUCCUCUCCUACCUCCUCCUCUCUUCCUCCUCUCCCUCCUACCCUGGCCAGGGAGAGAGAUGAAUGGAUAGACACAUCUAAGAUGCUUUUCUAUCAUUUAUAGGUCUGUAUUCAUAAAGCAACUGAGUAUGAGUGCUGAUCUAGGAUCAGUGUAGCCUUUUAGAUUGUUGUGAAUAAGAACUACAUGGACAGAGAGGAUCUGAUCUGAGAUCAGCACUCCUACUGUGAGACGCUUUGUAAAUAUGGGCAGUUCUCUGUAACUAAUCGCUAACUUUCCACUGAUAUUAGGAGUUUAGUCUGAACAUUUGUUUCUCAGGCCAUGGCUUUCAGCUCACUCAAGGUCCUGCGACGGACUCCUUUCAACUCAAUGUUUCAGUCUUGUGACAACACACAACGACACUAAACCACACGACACACUAAUUCUGUACAGGGCUAUUUAACUGGUGUUUAUUAAUUAACAAAUGUCUUUGAAAAGAAUAAACAAUGAUUUUUUUUGUGCCUUUUUUCUCCUCCAUUUGGUUUGUAGUUUGUACAGCGAAACAUGGCUCUAAACUAACCCAGUUUAAGCUGGUAAUUGUACCUUAAAGCUGUUCAUGGGUCAGGAAAGGUUAGGAUGAUCAGGAUAAUCUGGUUAGUUACAUUACGCUCCUGAUCUUUUCUUAGAUUGGAUAGUUUGCCAAUCUGAGAGUCCAGUCCUGAUGGUCAAAUCCCAGAUACAAACUAAUCUCUACAGGCGAGGCUGUUGUCGUUAGUUUAGUAAAUUAGAUAGCCGCUCUAAAGACGUUAAUCUCGUUUAAAGGCCCAGUUCAGUCAAAAACAUAUAUAUUUUUUAAUAUAUAUACUUUAUGACAAUGUUAUUAUGUUAUUGACAAUGUUAUUUUAGAGUAAGAGCUGUUUUGAAAAGGCUGCUUGAAAUGCCAGCCUGUUUUCUGUGGGAUGGAGUUGUAAUUUGUUUGUCUCCCAUCACAAUACCAUCACAGCAGUACAGUGUGCCUUAACUGCUCACCAAACAUGUCACGUUGCAUUUGUAAGCAUUGCAAAAUACGUACACACAUACAUUAUUCAAUCAUUUCAUACAAACUGGUCGCGUACUUCAACAGAGAUUUGCGUAGCCAGGCGCUAAAAUAGAAUGUGGUUCUAUUGGAACAGAACUAUUGGACCAGAACGUGGUUCUAUUGGAACAGAACUAUUGGACCAGAACGUGGUUCUAUUGGACCAGAAUGUGGUUCUAUUUAAACAGAAUUUGGUUCUAUUGGAACAGAACUUAGUUCUAUUUGAGCGGAACUAUUGGACCAGAACAUGGUUCUAUAGGAACCGAACUUGGUUCUAUUUGAACCGAACUAUUGGACCAGAACGUGGUUCUAUUGGAACAGAACGUGGUUCUAUUGGAACAGAACGUGGUUCUAUUGGAACAGAACUUAGUUCUAUUUGAGCGGAACUAUUGGACCAGAACGUGGUUCUAUUUGAACAGAACGUGGUUCUAUUUGAACAGAACGUGGUUCUAUUGGAACAGAACGUGGUUCUAUUUGAACAGAACGUGGUUCUAUUUGAACAGAGCCUGGUUCUAUUUAAACAGAACGUGGUUCUAUUUGAACAGAACGUGGUUCUAUUUGAACAGAGCCUGGUUCUAUUUGAACAGAACUUAGUUCUAUUUGAGCGGAACUAUUGGACCAGAACAUGGUUCUAUAGGAACCGAACUUGGUUCUAUUUGAACCAAACUAUUGGACCAGAACGUGGUUCUAUUGUAACAGAACGUGGUUCUAUUGGAACAGAACGUGGUUCUAUUGGAACAGAACUUAGUUCUAUUUGAGCGGAACUAUUGGACCAGAACGUGGUUCUAUUUGAACAGAACGUGGUUCUAUUGGAACAAAACGUGGUUCUAUUUGAACAGAACGUGGUUCUAUUUGAACAGAGCCUGGUUCUAUUUGAACAGAGCCUGGUUCUAUUUGACCAGAACCUGGUUCUAUUUGAGAUGCUGCAACAAAACCGAAGGUGCACAGCUAUGGGGUUGGCUUAGAUUGUUGAACACAC
ensembl:lncRNA